AUGUUUGCCUCAGUAGCAUGUGUACUAAAAUUGCAAUGCUAGAGAUUAGCAGAGUCCCUGAGCAAGGAUAUCACACAAUUUUUUUGAAGUUUUCCAUACUUUU